ACGGCGGACGGGUGAGUAUGCAUUAAGGAAUCUGCCUAUAAGCGGGGGACAAUGUAACGAAAGGAACGCUAAUAACGCAUACGUACCUACGGGACAAAGCACGGGAUCAUUACAGACCUUGUGCUAAUAGAUGAGCCUAAGUCGGAUUAGACUAGAUUGGUGGGGUAAAGGCCUACCAAGGCUGACGAUCUGUAGCGGGUCUGAGAGCGAUGAUCCGCCACACUGGUGACUGAGACACUGGCCCAAGACUCCUACGGGAGGCAGCAGUGGGGAAUAUUUGGACAAUGGGCGCAAGCCUGAUCCAGCCAUGCCGCGUGUGUGAAGAAGGCCUUAUGGUUGUAAAGCACUUUAAGCAGAGGAGGAGGAGCUUCAGGUUAAUACCCUGGAUGCUUGGACGUUACUCGCAGAAUAAGCACCGGCUAACUCUGUGCCAACAGACGCGGUAAUACAGAGUGGUGCAAGCGUUAAUCGGAUUUACUGGGACGUCAAAGCGUGCAGUAGAGCGCGAU
rnacentral:rRNA from 1 species